rfam:Brachypodium distachyon strain Bd21 chromosome 1, whole genome shotgun sequence.
UAAUUACUCCCUCCGUUUCAUAAUUCUUGUCUCAAAUUUGUCCAAAAAUGAAUGUAUCUAUUUCUAAAAAGUGUCUAGAUACAUGUAAUAUUUCAACAAGAAUUAUGAAACGGAGGGAGUAAAUU